AGAGAGAGAGAGAGAGAAUGAAAAGUAUGGUUAAUUUUAUUUGAGGGUAUAAAAGUAAUUUUAUUUUAUUUUUUUAAAUAAUGUCAUCUCAGUUUUGUAACUUGGAAACUUAUUAUUAUUGGUAAUAUGAAGUUUUAUGUUACUCAAAUUAAUGUUAAGGCGAUUUUAUGUUACAAAUUAAAAUUUACGUACCAUGCUAUUAUAUUGUCUUAAGUUCAUAUACUAUGGGUGAAAUUUACCCAAAUUAUUGUGAUUGAUUUGAAUUUCACAAUGCUUAGUUUCAGAGUUACGGAUUGUUUUGGGCAUUGAUUAGUGUGGGAAUCGUUAUUUCGAUUUUUUUUUUCAAACUUGAAUUCUA
rnacentral:misc_RNA from 1 species